rnacentral:rRNA from 1 species
UGCCAGCCGCCGCGGUAAUACGGAGGGAGCUAGCGUUAAUCGGAAUCACUGGGCGUAAGGCGUACGUAGGUGGCAAGGUCAGUCGGGCGUGAAAGCCCUCGGCUCAACCGAGGAAUUGCGUUUGAUACUGCUUUGCUAGAGUCUCGGAGAGGUUGGCGGAAUUCCAGGUGUAGGAGUGAAAUCCGUAGAUAUCUGGAGGAACACCAGUGGCGAAGGCGGCCAACUGGACGAGUACUGACACUGAGAUGCGAAAGCGUGGGGAGCAAACAGGAUGAGAUA